rnacentral:rRNA from 1 species
AAGUGUUGACAGACUCAUGGUAAAAGGCUGAUCUCUUCAGAUCUCAGAAGCUGAGCUGGGCCUGAUUAGUACUUGGAUGGAAGACUGCCUGGAAUAUCAGGUGCCACAGUGG